rnacentral:ncRNA from 2 species
UAUAUUUGCAAAAAAUUUGGUUUCCAAGGUAUUGGAAUUAAUAGGGAAUUGGGCGAAAAUCCCAAGCUGUCCCCGCAACUGUAAAUCGUAUUAAGAUUUUCUGCAAAAAAAGCCACUGCGAAAGCGGGAAGGCGUAGAAAAACGAAAGUCAGGAGACCUGCCAGAUUUUAACAUUAAUA